rnacentral:rRNA from 1 species
GACGAACGCUGGCGGCGUGCUUAACACAUGCAAGUCGAACGGAAAGGCCCUGCCUUUGUGGGGUGCUCGAGUGGCGAACGGGUGAGUAACCCGUGAGUAACCUGCCCCUGACCUUGGGAUAACUUCAGGCAACUGGGGCUAAUACCGGCUAGGAGCUCCUGCUGCAUGGUGGGGGUUGGAAAGUUUCGGCGGUUGGGGAUGGACUCGCGGCUCAUCAGCUUGUUGGAGGGGUAGUGUCUUACCAAGGCUUGGACGGGUAGCCGGCCUGAGAGGGUGACCGGCCACGUUGGAACGGGGAUGCGGCACAGACUCCAACGGGAGGCGGCGGUGGGGAGGAGUGCACAGUGGGCGGAAGCCUGAUGCAGCAACGCCGCGUGCGGGAUGACGGCCUUCGGGUUGUAAACCGCUUUCGCCUGUGACGAGGCGUGAGUGACGGUAAUGGGAAAAGAAGCACCGGCUAACUACGUG